rnacentral:lncRNA from 1 species
CCCAGAUUGAGGGAGUAGAAAUCUUCCAAAAGCAGAAUAUUGAAAGGGGGAAAAGAAAGAAGAGAGGUGUUUGUAUUGAGCACACCGGGCACCCAGGUGGCGUGCUCUGCAGCAGGACAUAAGCAACAACAUGACAGACUAAUGCAACGGGCAAUCUUUGCAUUGUGAAUCCUUGCUCAAUAUUCAAUCACAAAGAGACAAAACAAGUAAAAUCUAAUUUAACUGAAAAGUGUUAGCAAACAGGAAAGAGAGACAAUUCACAAGAAGACACAAACUUGUAAGUAUAGGCACCAUUCCCAAAC